GUACACGCUGUGACUAGCAUAUCAAUAAGCGGAGGAAAAGAAACUAACAAGGAUUCCCCUAGUAACGGCGAGUGAAGCGGGAAGAGCUCAAAUUUGAAAUCUUAAAGGGUUUCCCUUUACGAAUUGUAGUUUAAAGAAGUGUUUUCUGUUGAGGUUUUGGUAAAAGUUCUUUGGAAUAGGACAUCAUAGAGGGUGAGAAUCCCGUAUUUGACCUUUACUUUCAACUUUGUGAUACACUUUCAAAGAGUCGGAUUGUUUGGGAAUGCAGUCCAAAAUGGGUGGUAAAUUUCAUCUAAAGCUAAAUAUUGGCGAGAGACCGAUAGCGAACAAGUACCGUGAGGGAAAGAUGAAAAGAACUUUGAAAAGAGAGUUAAACAGUACGUGAAAUUGUCAAAAGGGAAGCGUUUGACACCAGUGUUGUUUUUCUGAAAAUCAAUUAAAGAACUGUUUAUGCUAAGUUGUUUAGACUUUAUCAGCUAUCUGUUUAGUUUUGAGCUUUUCUUUAAUGCACUUUUCAGUUAACAAGUCAACAUCAAUUUCUUUUGCUGUAAAAAAGCUUGAGGAAGGUGGCUUGAGAUUCGUCUUAAGUGUUUAUAGCCUCUUGCCUAUGCAGUCGGAGAGAUUGAGGUCUGCAGCGUAGAUCCUUCGGGGCUAAAUGCAUUUGUGCUAAGUUAUAGCAUUUUAUAGACAACUUGUUGACUAUGAUUUGUCUUGUAGCUUACUCGCUUAUGUUAUUUUACCUACGCUUAGGAUGUUGAAUCUGUGCGAGACUAC
rnacentral:rRNA from 1 species